AAGUCGUAACAAGGUCUCCGUUGGUGAACCAGCGGAGGGAUCAUUAAAGAGUUGCAAAACUCCCACAACCAUCGCGAACGUUACCCGUAACCGUUGCCUCGGCGGCGUCGGCCCCUCUGGGGUCGCCCGCCGGCGGCACCCGAAACCAUGUUUUUGCAGGCCUCUCUGAGUAACUUAUCAAAUAAGUCAAAACUUUUAACAACGGAUCUCUUGGUUCUG
rnacentral:misc_RNA from 1 species